rnacentral:rRNA from 1 species
AUUGAACGCUGGCGGCAGGCCUAACACAUGCAAGUCGAACGAGUGGCGGACGGGUGAGUAAUGUCGGGGAAACUGCCUGAUGGCGGGGGAUAACUACUGGAAACGGUAGCUAAUACCGCAUACCAUCGGAUGUGCCCAGAUGGGAUUAGCUAGUAGGUGGGGUAAAGGCUCACCUAGGCGAAGAUCCCUAACUUGUCGGAGAGGAUGACCCGCCACACUGGAACUGAGACACGGUCCAGACGCCGACGGGAGGCAUCAGUGGGGAAUAUUGCACAAUGGGCGCAAGCCUGAUGCAGCCAUGCCGCGUGUAUGAAGAAGGCCUUCGGGUUGUAAAGUACUUUCAGCGGGGAGGCGUUACCCGCAGAAGAAGCACCGGCUAACUCCGUGCCAGCAGCCGCGGUAAUUC